GGCGAAUAGCGUGCGAGAAGGCGGGGUAGUGGGUGAGGUGAGAGGGUAAAUGGGAAGGAAUAGGAGGAAGGGGUGGGAAGGCGGUAGUAUAGGUAAGAUGGGAAAGCGCCGGGGUCAACCUGGGAACUGCGUUGGAGACGGUACGGAUAGAGGUUGGAAGGGGGGGGUGGAAUUCCACGGGUAGGAGUGAAAUGCGUAGAGAUGUGGAGGAACACCGAUGGCGAAGGCAGCCCCCUGGGCAAAUACUGACGCUCAUGCACGAAAGCGUGGGGAGCAAACAGGAUUAGAUACCCAGUAGUC
rnacentral:rRNA from 1 species